UCUCACCACUCUAUUCAACAUAGUGGCCAGGGCAAUCAGGCAGGAGAAGGAAAUAAAGGGUAUUCAAUUAGGAAAAGAGGAAGUCAAAUUGUGCCUGUUUGCAGACGACAUGAUUGUAUAUCUAGAAAACCCCAUCAUCUCAGCCCAAAAUCUCCUUAAGCUGAUAGGCAACUUCAGCAAAGUCUCGGGAACCUGAGAAAAAAAAGCAAUGGGGAAAGGAUUCCCUAUUUAAUAAAUGGUGCUGGGAAAACUGGCUAACCAUAUGUAGAUAGUUGAAACUGGAUCCCCUCCUUACACCUUAUACAAAAAUUAAUUCAAGAAGGAUUAAAAACUUAAAUGUUAGACCUAAAACCAUAAAAACCCUAGAAGAAAACCUAGGCAAUACCAUUCAGGACAUAGGCAUGGGCGAGGACUUCAUGUCUAAAACACCAAAAGCAAUGGCAACAAAAGCCAAAAUUGAUAAAUGGGAUCUAAUUAAACUAAAGAGCUUCUGCACAGCAAAAGAAACUACCAUCAGAAUGAGCAGGCAACCUACAGAAUGGGAGAAAAUUUUUGCAGUCUACUCAUCUGACAAAGGGCUAAUAUCUCGAAUCUACAAUGAACUCAAACAAAUUUAAAAGAAAAAAAAACAACCCCAUCAAAAAGUGGGCGAAGGACAUGAACAGACACUUCUCAAAAGAAG
rnacentral:lncRNA from 1 species